rnacentral:rRNA from 1 species
GACGAACCGUGCGAACGUUAUUCGGAAUCACUGGGCUUAAAGCGCGUGUAGGCGGGUGGGAGCGUCGGCCACUGAAAGCCCCCGGCUCAACCGGGGAAGGGGUGCCGAGACGUCCCGCCUGGAGGGGCGUAGGGGGACCUGGAACUUCCGGUGGAGCGGUGAAAUGCGUUUGAGAUCGGAAGGAACGCCCGUGGCGAAAGCGAGGUCCUGGACCAAUACUGGACGCUGAGGCGGCGAAAGCGUGGGGAGCGAACGGG